rnacentral:rRNA from 1 species
UACGUAGGGGGCUAGCGUUGUUCGGAAUCACUGGGCGUAAAGCGCGCGUAGGCGGAUUGUUAAGUCGGGGGGGAAAUCCCGAGGCUCAACCUCGGAACUGCCUUCGAUACUGGCGAUCUUGAGUCCGGGAGAGGUGAGUGGAACUCCUAGUGUAGAGGUGAAAUUCGUAGAUAUUAGGAAGAACACCAGUGGCGAAGGCGGCUCACUGGCCCGGUACUGACGCUGAUGUGCGAAAGCGUGGGGAGCAAACAGG